rnacentral:rRNA from 1 species
UCAAGCGAUAGGUAAGGGCAUUUGGUGAAUGCCUUGGCAAUCAGAGGCGAAGAAGGACGUGGUACACUGCGAAAAGUUACGGGGAGUUGUGAACAAGCAUUGAUCCGUAAAUAUCCGAAUGGGGAAACCCACAGAGCAAUCUGUACUGUAUGAUGAAUAAAUAGUCAUGCAGGGCGAACGCAGGGAACUGAAACAUCUAAGUACCUGUAGGAAAGGAAAUCAACCGAGACUCCGAAAGUAGUGGCGAGCGAAAUCGGACCAGCCGAUGGAUAGUCAGUAAAGAAUCAGAAUUACCUGGAAAGGUAAGCCGGAGAGGGUGACAGCCCCGUACGAGUAGAAAAGCUGACUGUUCUUGAGUAAGGCGGAGCACGAGAAAUUCUGUCUGAAAAUGGGGAGACCACUCUCCAAGGCUAAGUACUACUGAUUGACCGAUAGUGAACAAGUACCGUGAGGGAAAGGUGAAAAGCACCCCUAUAAGGGGAGUGAAAGAGAACCUGAAACCGGAUGCCUACAAGCAGUCGGAGGGUCUAUAAGGCCUGACGGCGUACCUUUUGUAUAAUGGGUCAGCGACUUAAUUUAUGUAGCAAGCUUAAGCCGAUAGGUGUAGGCGUAGAGAAAUCGAGUGUUAACAGCGCGUUAAGUUACAUGAAUUAGACCCGAAACCGAGUGAUCUAGCCAUGAUCAGGUUGAAGGUUGGGUAACACCAACUGGAGGACCGAACCCACUCCCGUUGAAAAGGUAGGGGAUGAAUUGUGGCUAGGGGUGAAAGGCCAAUCAAACUCGGAAAUAGCUGGUUCUCCGCGAAAACUAUUUAGGUAGUGCGGUGAGCGGACACCUUGAGGGGUAGAGCACUGGAAGAGCUAAGGGGGAGCGAUCCUUACUAAACUUUACCAAACUCCGAAUACUCAAGAGUGAUACUCACCAGACAGACAUUAGGUGCUAAGGUCUAGUGUCGAGAGGGAAAGAGCCCAGACCGCCAAUUAAGGUCCCAAAAUUAUGGCUAAGUGGUAAAGGAAGUGAAACGUCCAAAACAGUCAGGAGGUUGGCUUAGAAGCAGCCAUCCUUUAAAGAAAGCGUAAUAGCUCACUGAUCUAAACAAGACGUCUUGCGCCGAAGAUGUAACGGGGCUAAAGCCAUAUACCGAAGUUGCGGAUUUACACGUUAAAGUGUAAGUGGUAGCGGAGCGUUCUGUAAGCCUGCGAAGGUGUACCGUAAGGUAUGCUGGAGGUAUCAGAAGUGAGAAUGCUGACAUGAGUAGCGAAAAGAAGAGUGAGAGACUCUUCCGCUGAAAGUCCAAGGUUUCCUGCGUAAAGCUAAUCUGCGCAGGGUUAGUCGGUCCCUAAGGCGAGGCAGAGAUGCGUAGUCGAUGGCAAUCAGGUUAAUAUUCCUGAACCGGCCCGGAAGUGACGGAUUGAGUAAAUUGUAAGUUCUUAUUGGAUUGAACUUGCAGUGAAUCAGUCCCAGGAAAUAGCCCGGGCUAAGACCGUACCCGAAACCGACACAGGUGGACAGGUAGAGAAUACCAAAGCGCUUGAGAGAACUAUGUUGAAGGAACUAGGCAAAAUACUUGCGUAACUUCGGGAUAAGCAAGCCCCAUUUUAAGGCAACUUAGGGUGGGGGGCACAUACUAGGGGGUAGCGACUGUUUACUAAAAACACAGGGCUCUGCUAAAUUGAAAGAUGAAGUAUAGGGUCUGACGCCUGCCCGGUGCUGGAAGGUUAAGGAGAGAUGUGCAAGCAUUGAACUGAAGCCCCAGUAAACGGCGGCCGUAACUAUAACGGUCCUAAGGUAGCGAAAUUCCUUGUC